rnacentral:lncRNA from 1 species
GGAGGAUGCCUGUUUACACAAAGAUGGAAGAAGGCCUGGAAGAAGCCUCCUGUUUGCCAGGAAGGCUGACCACCCACCUGGAAAGCUGGCUUUUCUCUGCCAGACCCUGCAAAGGAGCACAAAUUCUGGACUAGAAGGCAUGGCGAAGCGAGCGUGGUAACUUUCAAAAGGGCCUCGAGUUUCAUUUAACCUCUGUUUGACCUUUUUUAGAAGAUACCUAGUAUGUAAAAUAACUUUUAAAAUCUUCUCUUUGGAAACUUUCUUACAGGUGGUGGUGGUUUUCAGACCUACGCAGAUGGAAAGCAUGUUUAUUCCUAUAAAUCCAUCACCUUCCUAGUGGGAUCCUGCCCAACUCUUCAUUUUCUGGGCUGGCCUUUCUCCUAAGCAUUUUAUCUCCCACUGCCUAGGAGAUCCUUCCACUUGGGUCCAAUAGUAAAUUAAAGCUCAAAAUGCCUAGUUUAGGAUUUUUAUGACUUGCUUCCCCAAAUCAGGGCCACAUGGCUUCCUUGUUUCUAUUAAUGAACUACUAGUAGAAGCUCAAAAAAUAUUUUGUAGUAAAUAAAGGAAGAAUAGACUGAUGGUUUUCGCAGGUCCCUGAGUCCACCAGCAUCUCAGGGCUGGGACAGAGGAGUUGUGGCAUAGCUGGGCUCCUCCACACUGCUGGGAUCCCAAUGCCUGGUGGACAAAGCACUGGCCAGUGGGAGGCGGGGGUGCAAUCCUCGUGCUGACUUUUGUUAGUCCUAUGACUCAGUAGGAAAGCUGCCAUUGAGAUUCAAGGAGUAGAUGAUGAAAGGAGUGUUAAACAAGAAAAAGAACAGAAAAGGAUGUAGAUUUGCUAACACAAUAAAAAAAGACCUUCGAAAUAUUCAAAUAAAGACGCAUAGCUUGUUAUUACUAUUAAAUUAACCUGAGUUAAUGGCGUAAAAAUGUACAGAGUGGCAAUGGGGUUCAGGAUGUACUAUCCCCAAUUAUGGCACCUUGGCAUAUUGAAUAUCUUAAGCUGAAAAAACACGAGAAAAUGGCAGAAGCGGGAAGGUCACCUUGACACCCCCCCAUCCCCCAAUUCUUCCCUGAAAGAGAUCAGCCCAGAGCCUGGGAACCUCCAUAUGCUGCAGGUGCAGCCCUAAAAAUACAAAAGAAAAGAUAAGAAAAAAACAGGGAAUUGGGGGCUGAGAAAUCUGUACAAACCUUGUUAAACUAAUUCUUAUCUUCCUGUUUACUUCUUUACCAUUUACUACCCUAGCCCAACACUUUGGUCUUGACAAUACUUGACAAGAAGGUAUAAAAGCUUCCUGUUCUGGGCACUUGUUCAGAUCUUCAUUCUCUUAUGAAGCCUCCCAUGCAUGUACGUGUAAAAAUGCAGUAUCAUUUGUAUAAUUUGUUCUUGAUAAUUUGUGUUUGUCAGCUUAAUUCUCACACCCAGCCCUGGACCCUAUGAGAGUGAAAGACAGUUUUACCCUUUGCAGUCAGGUGAGGGAAAUAGGAGUUCCACAGCAGGAUUCUUCAGGGCUUCUUGUUCCCUUAAUUACCUGUCUGUAAGGUGAGCUGAAAUAAUAACCUGAAUAAAUGUUCCAGUGUUAUUAGUUCAUUCAUUCAGGAAACAUUUCUGACUACUAUGCCCAAGGCACAUCUUAAGUAAGUAAUAAAGUAAUAAAGUAAGUAAUAAAGUAAGUAAAACAAGGACCCCCCCCCUUCCAGUGAGGGAACCACCCGAAUCCCCCCUCUUCCAAAUUAACCAAAAAACCUCCAUAGACACAAAAUGUCAGGUGAAUACAACAAGGUAAGAAUUAAAGGGAGUCCCUGGAUGUGAAGAGGGAGCUGAUCUUUUAUAUAAUAUAGUUCAUGCAGGCCUAGAGAGGUGACACAGAGCAGAGACCUGGGAGAAAUGAAGAUUGACUUCAAAUCAGCAUUCUACAGCUCGCAUGCCCUGGUUCGGGAUGGUUCAGAUUUGGCUACUGUGCCAGGGGAGGGGUUCUCAAAGGUGGUGUGGUUGGACUCCAUCAAAGUCGACUGAAGGACCGCUGGGCCCCCACUGAACACACCAUCUUGUUUUCCUGCUCCCAGCUGGUGCGGCAGUAACCAAGGGGGACCCUCAUACUAGGGUGAACCCAGGUCCUCUUAUCCCCUUCUGUACCCUCUUCAGAUAGACCAAGAGCACAUCAGUGAUGCAGGAAGGUUCCAGAAAAAGACUAGGGCCAGAGGUGGAGUAGUGUAGCACUGCUGUGAUUGGCAGGAGCAUCUCCACCGUCUUGGCCUGGCUUGGUACUGCCAACACCAUCACCUACCAGUGCUCCUCCAAGCAAACUAAAUGAGAGAAGGAAACUUUGGUCAACCACUUAGGGGAAUCCUAUCAACGGUUCAGAAGCAAGAAAGUAGGAUCUGAUGGGUUUAAGAUGUCCUCCAGCAGAAUUUUCUCUUAACACUUAGGAAUUGUUUCCGAUCCCCCUGAAUAUCCAUUCUCCCUGCCCCCAUUUGACUUGCCAGGGCCCACGGUUACAGUCAAAGGGAGGUUUUAUAUUUUAAGUUUAAUUGCAUGUGGUAUUUAGCCUUUCCUUUCUUUCUCUUAUUACUUCUUCACUUCUUCCUUUAGUUGUCUUUCUUUCCUUUUUUUUUUUUUUUUUUUUUUUUGCGUUUACUCUGACUCAUAAAGAAUAAAUCAGUUCUCUGAAUCUCUGAGUCAACUCUUUUUGUAAACUCAAAUCUGAAAGUGGAAACAUGGGUAAUUAAGCAGGAGAUAGGGAGGAAGAGAAGUCAGACUAAUAGAAGAAAAGGCCACAAAUGGAACAGUAAUUGAUACUUCGAUGGUGCUCUCCAUUAUCCCAACUCCUCCAGGAACCCCCAGCCUCAAGCUCUUGCAAUAGUGAGUUCAGCAGUUCUUUCUAUUAUGCCUGGGUUUUAGAAAAUAUUUAACAAAUUUGUUUAACUUAAUGUGGUAUCAGAUCUUAAAACCAGUCAUACAAAUUUUGCUCUGUUCUGAAGGUGUUUAAUAGUAAAAGGCAACUGAGUAUUGGGGGUUUCUCCUAUCUCAGUCAGUGGCUUUUAUAGAACCAAGGAGUUAUCUUGAAUGUCUUUAUCCCAAUCCCCAUAUCCAAUAAGUUAUCAGGAACUGCUUCCUUUUCCUGUGUCAAUGUUGAGCUGUCUAUGGAGUAGUUAAACACAGAUAUUAGAGGAAAAGAAGCAUGUAUUUCUGUGUGUUAAGAUUAUAUAAUAAGCAGAUGCCACACAAGAAGAAAGAAGUAGUUACAUUGCUUAGCAUGCAUUUAAACAGGACAUGUUAAUUGCUUGAGAUUUUCAUAGAAAUAUAUUUUUAUUUCAUUUGGUGAGGCAGACUGGUUUAUAAAAGUGAUCCAAAGGUAUGCAUGAGUGCUUUUUAUGUCUUUUUCCUGAGGUUUUGUGUAUCUCUAUUCAUUGAUAAUAGCAGAGAGGAGAAAUGGCUGGCACAUUUUAUCAUUUUAUCAUUAUGCAAAUAAAUAAAUCAGCUCUUCAACAACUUUAAGAUAAAUUGCUAAUUUCCACUGAAAAAGAAAAGGCAGAAAUCCCUUAUAGAAUGACCUUGGUCCCAAGCUGUUUUGCAAAAGCAAGUCUUUUCUUUAGUUCAUUUCUAGAACUUACACUUCUUCUGGUAAGCCUUGCAAAAGGCAGCAUUUACAUACAUGUGCACAGAGACAGAUUGAUCAGUAAAGUCAUGGUAAAAUACCAACAGGCUUUCUUCCUAUUAUUAGUGCUAAAUUUGGGGAGAUUAUGGAGAAUUUCUCCAUAUAAUUUUUUAGGCAGCUGUGAAUUCUAGAACAGCUUCCUGAAGAUCAUGGGACCUCUUCUGUUGCCAAAGCCUGUGGCAUUUCCUCAUCUCGGUACUCUCUCCUUACAGGCUCAGAAUUAAUUGUGCCUCUCAGUGCGGUGUUUCUAGGUUGCUACUGUGACUCUUCCAAAAUUCCCUAUGGUGGGUCUGAAGAAUAGUUUCUAGGUGUUAUGGAAAAAUAAGAUAGAGGAACAGCAGUAGAGCCAGUAUUUACCAAAUUCCAGUGAAGGAGUGCAACUCUCAACAACUAAAUGGUGAACCUACUCAUCACUCAACUGAAAAACUCAGAAAGUAACUCCUUCUAUUACUGCCUUGGGCCAGUGUGCAUUUUAACGAAUAGCCCCCAAUAUAUCUGUAACAUCUUACCAAUAAAACCUUUCAACCUGCAUCCUCAAACUUCUGAGAAAAUGUGGCCAGUAAUCUAAAAGCCUCCCUCUUCACACACAAGGACAACGACCUUGGCUGAACCAAGAGGACAUGAAUUCCAUCACUGCCUCCUACGUCAGACACUCCAGGCUCUUGUCCAGGAAAAUUCAGGGCAAUAACUCCUUAAGUUACAAAAACACCUUCUCAUGCACAGCAUUGCCACAAUGUCUCCAAAACUUUUAAAGACAAAGUACAGAGAUAAAAGAGUGAUGUAGACAAAGCAGACUGGGCUAACUAGGUCGGCAUUUAGGAUCCUGUUAGAGAUUUUUCUAGGCCAUAGACAGCUGGCCUAAAGGCUCUAGCUGUCCCACAGCCUCAAGGAAUCAAUAUCUAAGAAACACCUGUUUGGAAACUCCAUUCAAGUGGCCUCCCCCUAACUCUCACCUUAGGCGGAGUGUCUAAACCCACUGUAGAGAAAGAGCAGAUAGGAAAUCCCAAGAAUCCCACCAGCCUUACAGAUUGGACUCAAAUCAAAAUCUUCCUGAAGCAUUUUCUCCUGUUUAAUACAAACUCCUCUAAAAGGAGCAGCACAUUAAGUUAUUAUCAGUAAUUUCCAUGUCACAAUUGUAGUUACUAACUUGUUCUAAAGCUAGUGGCCUCUGGCGGAGGUGGGGGGGGGGCAUUAAAUGACUUCAGGAACCCCUGACAUCUCUGUACCACAGAUACUGUCUAAAAGCUGCUUUUCAAUAUCAUACUGGAAAUCCUAGCUAACACAGUAAGACAAGAUGAGGAAAUAAAAGACACACAAAUUAAGAAGGACAAAAGAAAACUGUCUUUGUUCACACAUGACGAUCAUCUAUGUAGAAAAUCCAAAAGAAUUGACCAAAUUAAAAAACAAAGCAAAACAACUAAUGGAACUAAUAAGUGAUUAAUAAGUGGUUAUAGCAAGUUUGAAGGAUAAAGGAUUAAUAUACAAAAGUCGAUUGCUUUCCUACAUACUAGCAAUGAACAAGUGGGAAUUGAAAUUUAAAAACACAACACCAUUUAUAUUAGCACCCCCAAAACAUGAAAUGCUUAGAUAUAAAUCUAACAAAAUAUGUCUAAGAUCUAUGGGAAGAAACCACAAAACUCUGAUGGAUGAAAUCAAGGUAAAUGGAGAGAUAAUCCAUGUCUCUGGAGAGGAAGACUCAAUAUUAUCAAGAUAUCAGUUCUUCCCAACUCAAUCUAUAAAUUCAAUGCAAUUACAAUCAAAGCCUGGCACAUUAUUUUGGGGAUACUGACAAACUUAUUCUAAAGCUUACCUGGAGAGGUAAAACACCCAGAAUAGCCAACAUGAUAUUGCAGGGGAAGAAAAAGUUGGAGAACUGAUACCACCCGCCUUAAGAACUUAUUAUAAAGCUAUAGUCAUCAAGACAGUAUAGUAUUGGUGAAAGAAUAGAUACUUCAGUGGAACAGAAUAGAGAAUCCAGAAAUAGACCAACAUAUAGUCAACCCAACUUUGACAAAGGAGCAAAGACAAUACAAUGGAGAGAAGAGAGUCUUCUCAACAAAUUGCAUUGGAACAGGUGGACACCCAAAUACCAAAAAAAAAAAAAAAA